rnacentral:tRNA from 1 species
CUUGUUGAUGGACGACGGGUCGAUGUCGAUAUGCGCUUUGAUCGAAUUGGGGCUGAAGGCAUCCAGACGACCGGUGAUCCGGUCAUCGAAACGGGC